rnacentral:misc_RNA from 1 species
UCCCCGUUCUCCUGGGCAGUCUCCCAUGAGUCCCCGCCAUUACGCGCUGGCAACAUGGAACGAGGGUUGCGCUCGUUGCGGGACUUAACCCAACAUCUCACGACACGAGCUGACGACAACCAUGCACCACCUGUGAACCGGCCCCAAAGGGGAAACCACAUUUCUGCGGCGGUCCGGUCCAUGUCAAGCCUUGGUAAGGUUCUUCGCGUUGCAUCGAAUUAAGCCACAUGCUCCGCCGCUUGUGCGGGUCCCCGUCAAUUCCUUUGAGUUUUAACCUUGCGGCCGUACUCCCCGGGCGGUCAACUUCACGCGUUAGCUUCGUUACCAAGGAAUAACUUCCCCGACAACCAGUUGACAUCGUUUAGGGCGUGGACUAC